ensembl:misc_RNA Y_RNA Y RNA
GGCUGGUCCAAGUGCAGCAAUGUUUAUAGCUAAUUGAUCACAACCAGCUACAGAUUCCUUUGCUCUGUCUCCCCUUCCACUGUUUCACUUGACUAGCCUUAA